CCCUUAGAUGUUCUGGGCUGCACGCGCGCGACAAUGACGUUUGCAACGAGAUACGAGACCGAAAGGUUAAGUUGAUCUAGCAAGCUGCGUCGUGAUAGGGACUGUCGAUUGCAAUUAUUCGACACGAACGAGGAAUUCCUUGUAAUCGCACAUCAUCAGUGUGCGCUGAAUACGUCCCUGCCCUUUGUACACACCACCCGUCGCUCCUACCGAUCGAGUGAUCCGGUGAAUGUUUUGGAUCGGUUGCAAGUUGCGCGACGCGCUUCUUGCAUGCUGUGAAAUCAUGUAAGCCUUAUUGCUUAGAGGAAGGAGAAGUCGUAACA
rnacentral:rRNA from 1 species